rnacentral:rRNA from 1 species
UAGGGAAUCUUCCACAAUGGGCGGCAAGCCUGAUGGAGCAACACCGCGUGAGUGAAGAAGGGUUUCGGCUCGUAAAGCUCUGUUGUUAAAGAAGAACACGUAUGAGAGUAACUGUUCAUACGUUGACGGUAUUUAACCAGAAAGUCACGGCUAACUACGUGCUAG